rnacentral:rRNA from 1 species
GAGUUUGAUCCUGGCUUUAGAAAAACGCUAGCGGCAGGCUUAAUACAUGCAAGUCGAGGUAAAACAGGGCUGUAGCAAUACAGUCGCUGGCGACCGGCAAACGGGUGCGGAACACGUACGCAACUUUUUCAUGACAGGGGCAUAGCCCGGGGAAACCCGGAUUAAUACCCCGUAACAUAGUGAGCAGGCAUCUGCUUAUUAUUAAAGCCUUCGGGUGGUCAUGGAUGGGCGUGCGGCUGAUUAGGUAGUUGGUUGAGGUAACGGCUCACCAAGCCUGCGAUCAGUAACUGGUGUGAGAGCACGACCAGUCACACGGGCACUGAGACACGGGCCCGACUCCUACUUUUGGCAGCAGUAAGGAAUAUUGGUCAAUGGACGCAAGUCUGAACCAGCCAUGCCGCGCGGAGGAUGAAGGUCCUCUGGAUUGUAAACUUCUUUUCUCUGGGACGAAACCCCCGAAUUCUUUUUGGUCUGACGGUACCAUAGGAAUAAGCACCGGAAAACUCCGUGCCAGAAGCCUGGUAUACGGAGGGUGCAAGC